rnacentral:tRNA from 1 species
GGUAAGGUGGCUGAGGUAGGCGGUGGAUUGUAGCCCCACAUACAGAGGUUUGAGCCCUCUCCUUAUCA